AGUGAACGCUGGCGGUAGGCCUAACACAUGCAAGUCGAACGGCAGCACAGUAAGAGCUUGCUCUUACGGGUGGCGAGUGGCGGACGGGUGAGGAAUACAUCGGAAUCUACUUUUUCGUGGGGGAUAACGUAGGGAAACUUACGCUAAUACCGCAUACGACCUACGGGUGAAAGCAGGGGAUCUUCGGACCUUGCGCGAUUGAAUGAGCCGAUGUCGGAUUAGCUAGUUGGCGGGGUAAAGGCCCACCAAGGCGACGAUCCGUAGCUGGUCUGAGAGGAUGAUCAGCCACGCUGGAACUGAAACACGGUCCAGACUCCUACGGGAGGCAGCAGUGGGGAAUAUUGGACAAUGGGCGCAAGCCUGAUCCAGCCAUACCGCGUGGGUGAAGAAGGCCUUCGGGUUGUAAAGCCCUUUUGUUGGGAAAGAAAAGCAGCAGGUUAAUACCCCGCUGUUCUGACGGUACCCAAAGAAUAAGCACCGGCUAACUUCGUG
rnacentral:rRNA from 1 species